GGAGGGAGGACCGGAGGGCGGUGCUGGGGGCGGGGAGGACCCGGGGCAGGGGCGGGGCUGGGGUCGGGAGGUUCGGGGGAGGGAGGAGGGGCAGAUGGGGAUGGGGCAGGACGAGGGGGCGGUGCUGGGGCGGUGCUGGGGCGGUGCUGGGGCGGGGCGGGCCUGCUCCGGGGGCCUCGGGGGCCGCGGCGUCCCGGGCAGGGUGGGCGGAAUCGGAGGCGCCCCCCGCAGACUGGACCCGGGUUGCCGGAGACACGCGGUGCGGAUUCCUCUGCGAUUUCAGACCUCAGGGCCUGGCAGACCCGACCGACAUCUGACUCCUGUUUUUAACGUUCUCCGCUACAUUUCAAGGCCGAACCCCAUAUGCAGAUGAGAAGCCCGUAGUCCCCGCUCCCGCUCCCCCCGCAAACCAGGGCCCAGGGCCUGGAGCCCCGCGCGGAGCCGGGGUGCCCCCACCGGCGAGCAAGGCCCGGGAGACGGGGCGCCCACCGGCCUGGGCUUCCUGGGAGAAUCUGGGCGGCUCCGGUUCUGACCGGCUUCUUCUCGGUCCGCAUCCCAGGACAGUGUCCUGGGAUUCCAGCUGCUUCUCCUGCCCGGGAGGGCCUCGGAAAUUUGCCAAAACUGCGGGGUUUGAAUUUUGCUCUGGCGACGUGGCUAGGGGAGACUUCAGAGGUGACGUUUUGGGGCGUCCUCGCACUGGGUCCCCCGACGGUCUGGAGCGGGCUGGGGGGUGCGACAGGGGGUCUCCCGCAGGCCCAGGAGGAGGCGCCGUUCCGGACUCACGCGCUUUCCUACUAGCAGCAGUGCUGGCCUCGUCGGGCGAGGCGGGAUUAGCGGCUCUGCGUUCCCCUGCGCGUCCUCAGGGCCGUUGGGAACUAACUUGGGACCUUCCCAUCGGUGUUUCUGGAACGUUUCGUCGAGUGCCGCCCAGGAGCCUGGAAAGCCGCGUGUGGAACUGACCGGUCCCUAAGUGGGGACCCCCGCCUCUGCCUUUCACGCUUCUCCAGCGCCCCCUGCGAGACCGUGGGGUUCAGUGCUCGGGGGCAGAACCCAGACCUGCUUCCUCCCUUCUUAGUCGGCUGGUUCUGAGAACUCGAGCUUUCAGCCCAGCUCUGCAGCCCUGGCCUUGGGUAACGCCCAGCGUCCCUCUGAAAGAUCGCACAGCCCCCUACUCUGCGCUCUGACCUUGCUGGGAUGUUUACACUUAAACCGGGAGACAGGCCAUAGCCUCCUGCCCCUCAGCAAGCAGGUACCUCACAACCAGGACUGGCAGGUGGCCUUCGAACCCCAUCUGGGCUCCUCUCCCCUACUCAAUGGCUCCCUGAACCCCUCCAGUUCUGACUGAACCCCAUUUUCUACAUUGUGUCGCUUGUACUUUCUGGAGCAACGGACACAGUCCUGCUCCCCACGUCCCAGCACCUGGGGUCCUGUACCCUAACAGCCCUACACCACCCAGCUUCUGUUCCAACCCUAGGCCUGGGAGCCUCACGGCCCCCCUUUUCCCUAAUUCCUGCCCUCUACCCACGGAGAUGGGGUUCUAACCUCCCUUCCCCACCACUGCCGUGGAAAGCAUCGUAGCAGGAGGCAAGACCGGGGACCAUGGGCUCCGGAGCCUGAGUGUGAUGGUGGGACCGCCACCAAGUGUAUUUUUGGGCCAGAUGUAGGGAGAAUGUGGGAGCAAGUCAGAUAAGAGUGGAGAGGAGAGAUACAGAGAGGCCAGCGCCCCAGGCUCUGAGGAGGGUGGGCAGACAGAGGGAGGCAGCUGGAAAGGCCUUCUGCUCCAGCCCAGGCCUGUACACGCCCCACCUAAACAGCUCCCACCUGGGACCGUGUCUACAGGUGCCGCCAUUCACCAAGCACCGGACAGGUGCCUGAGCAUCCGCACACAAACUCCCUUUCUGCGAAGCCACCAGCAGGGUCAGCCAUGAUGUAAAAGCCAGAGGCACACCCACCUGAGCCUGAGUGUGAUCGCAACCACAGCUGGCCCAGGACAGCACUUCCUGGGGAGGCUUUGUGGUGCUGGAGCGCUGGGUCCGCUCACCCUGCAGUCCAGGGACUCAGAAUCAUCACCCAGGGGGACCCAGCUCCCCUGCAGGAGGCCCCCUUCAGUCUGAGGGGCCUCAAGUUUCUGCACCCACGAUGCACCUCCUCCCUUCAGGAAUUCAGCUGUCUUGUCGCUUUUUUUUGGUUUUUUUGAGACAGAGUUUUGCUCUUGUUGCUCAGGUUGGAGUGCAAUCGUGUAAUCUCAGCUCACCACAACCUCUGCCUCCCAGGUUCAAGUGAUUCUCCUGCUUCAGCCUCCUGAGUAGCUGGGAUUACAGGUGGGCACCACCAUGCCUGGCUAAUUUUGUAUUUUUAGCAGAGACGAAGUUUCUCCAUGUUGGUUACUCUGGUCUCAAACUCCCGACCUCAGGUGAUCCGCCUGCCUCGGCCUCCCAAAUUUCUGGGAUUACAGGCGUGAGCCACGGUGCCCGACCCUUGCUCUUCUGUAGAAGCUGCUGCCCUUUGGAAGUUAGAAGGGCUUCAGGAGUACUUCAGUUCUGGGGUGCCCAUCAAGAUGGGAUGAACUUACUUUUGUCCUUACUUGUGUCACGAAUGACUGAUUUAAUCACACCCAUGGCAGAUUGAUCCCCGGAGAGACGAGGCUGGGGACUACCGCCUGAUGACUGACCUGAGGAUCUGACCCCUGCACACUCUGUGGGCAUCUCCAGCUUGAGGCACACCCACCCACAGGUAUCCCGGAGCCCCCGCCAGCCUCCCAGAAGGUCUGCAGAGGGGCCUGCCAGCCCUGCAGCCCUUGGGCCUGAGCACAGAGCAUCCAGGGCUGCCUGUCUCCCUGCACGCCUCUCUGGACUGAAUGUGGACUCUGGUAACAGCUCCAUCUGCGAGUCCCCAGUUCCCGGGACAGCUCCAGUUAUUCACUGUGCAACAGAUUGCCCCAGCGUUGUGGGUGGAACAACAGUGCUCCUCAUUGUGCUCUUCCCAGGUUCUGGGUGGCCUGGCACCUCCAGGCGGCCCUCAGGGUCUCUCCAUCAUGGUCACACCCCUGGGGCCAGGGGGGAUCUGAGGGCUGCUCAUGAUGCACCUGGGGUCCAUCGCUGGGUGGCCCACCCACGCUUGUCUGCAGUGCCUGCAUACUACCUGGAGGCUGGGCUUGGAGAGCUGGUGUCCUGGAUAGACAAGAGGAAACUGUGUCGCCACGUUGCUUCUGCCAAGUCACAGCCGCCGAGAGUCAGGGGCAAAACAUAGACCCCUCUCCUCCACAUAGGAGCCAGUCACAACUUAGGAGGAGUGGUGCUGCCAGGAGCACUUCGAAACAUAGGACCUGUGACUCCUAAACAUGGCAGGCGCCCACCCAGGGCCUGCUGGAUUCAUGGGCAAAUGUGAGGAAAAAUGAGCUGGGGUCUGUGUGAUGUCACCCUCCAAGACAUGCCAGAAAGUUCUGACGCGUCGGAUGAAUGGGGACUAAUGGGGACUGACAGAGACGACUGGUGGAAGCUGAUGUUAACUAAUGGGGACUGACAGAGACUGAUGAGGACUGGUGGGAGCUGAUGGGGACUAAUGAGGACUGAUAGACUGAGGGUGUCUGAUGGGGGGGGCCUGCCACCCUUGGGAACUGAUGGGGUCUGAUGGGUCUGAUCGAGAUGAUGGGAUCUGUUGGGGAUGUUGGGUCCUGAUGGGGAUGUUGGGGUCUGAUGGAGACUAAUGGGGGAUGAUGGGGACUGAUGGGGAUGUUGGGGUCUGAUGGGUCUGAUGGAAUCUGAUGGGAUCUGAUGGGUCUGAUGGGGAUGUUGGGGUCUGAUAGAGACUAAUGGGGGAUGAUGGGGAUGAUGGGGACUGAUGGGGCUGGGCCAAGGACUGUGGCCCACAUUUUCAUGUUGAAGAGCCUGAUGUGGUCUGAUUUAUGCUUUUAAAAAGUAUUUCCCCAGUUAUUCUGUAGCUUGCAGUCUGACAAGAACAGAGGCAGGGUUCAUUGAGGAGGGUUAGAGAAGACAGUGGCCUGGAGUAGAGCAGCUGGGGAGGAGGAGUCGCCCCUGGAUUUUGUGCUGAGCAGGGGGCAGCAGGAACUGCUUCCAGUGGAUUGUCCAGGUUUGUUAAUUGCUUUCAUUCUUCUCUACUUCAUCGACCCUGGGAAAGAAGGAAGUAUACAUCGGGAAGCCUUAAUUCAGACUAUUUUUACUGUUGAAAAGUAAUGGCUUUCUCUAGAUUAGAAUUUAGGAGCAGUAAUAUAAAGAUUCGUGAGAUGAGCCGGGCGCGGUGGCUCACGCCUGUAAUCCCAGCACUUUGGGAGGCCGAGGCGGGUGGAUCACGAGGUCAAGAGAUCAAGACCAUCCUGGUCAACAUGGUGAAACCCCGUCUCUACUAAAAAUACCAAAAAUUAGCUGGGCAUGGUGGCCCGUGCCUGUAAUCCCAGCUACUCGGGAGGCUGAGGCAGGAGAAUUGCUUGAACCCAGGAGGUGGAGGUUGCGGUGAGCCGAGAUGGCGCCAUUGCACUCCAGCCUGGGUAACAAGAGCGAAACUCCGUCUCAAAAAAAAAAAAAAAAAGAUUUGUGAGAUGAAACUCAUACAUCCAGAGAAACUACUUACACUUGGCAUAGCGUUACUAGAUUUAGCUAAUAAAAAUGCAAGUACAGGACACCCAGAGUGAGACAUACUUACACUAAUAUAGAGGAAGGAAACGAAACAGAGCAAAGCACUUCCUCUACUCUACUGCUUGAGGCACCUUGGACCUGGAAAUCGACUGACCAGACAGAUUAACAACAGAAAAAGACAGUUUUGAGAAAGUUUUGAAAAAAAACAAAACAAAACAAAAAAAAACUCCAAAAAGCACUUUGGAGGCCAAGGCGGGCGGAUCACCUGAUGUCGGGAGUUCAAGACCAGCCUGACCAACAUGGUGAAACCCUGUCUUUAUUAAAAAAAGAAAAGAAAAGAAAAAAGCAGAGAAGGGGUUUCACAAAACUGGGCAGGAUGGUCUCAAACUCCCGACCUUGUGAUCCGCCAGCCUCAUCCUCCCAAAGUGUUAAGACAGGCGUGAGCCACCGCACCCAGCCAAAAGACAGUUUUCAUUAUAUCCACAGUGGCUGGCCAAAAUAUCUAUCAGGAUCUCCUGAGGUGGGGUCAGAGUUCAGGUUAGACAACAAACCCGGGGUUUGGGCUUUUGGAGCGCAGUGAGCGGUGGGAAGGUAACCAGGAAGUGUAUGGUGAACCAGGUCAUCAGGAAAUGUGCCACGUAGGCCAGGCACAGUGGCUCACACCUGUCAUCUGUGAAAGUCCAGACAGAGAAGACAAAGAGACCAAUGAUGACCGAAGAGAACUUUAAUUUGGGCGCCCGGGCCAGCAGCAGGCUCACGGUUAUAAUGGCCACCGACAGCAACAAAGCAGCAGUUUAGCUUAUAUGCGGUUUGAGGCAGGAGGCGGGUUUUACAAUCGUGGGCUUCGUGGUCAUUUAACUCUAUGACCUUGCAGCUGAGGUAAGGGGUCGAAACACUGGGGAGCACACCCAGGGAGAUGAGAGGAACAGGAAAUGCAGAAGCAUGUUGGGGCGCAGACCCUCUCUCUACAUAGAUAAGACCCAAGACGUGCUCCAGGCUCUCAUCUAUGUAGAGAGAGGGUGGUGCCAGGUCUGCUUUGCCUUUGCUUUUUUCCUAAUGCAGCUUAUAAUCUAGCCCAGAAUGCAAGAUAAGCUUGCAGCUUCACCAGGGAGAGGUUACUUAAAUUCCUUACCUUUGUACAACCCUUAAAUGGCCUUUACUUCAAGUUUAACUACUACCUAUGUUAUGCUUAUUAUUUAAACUAUAGUUUGUGCUAUUUUAUUUCAUUUUAUUUUCCUUCCACAAAAGAAAAUUCAAUCUUGAACUGAGCACCAUGGCUCAUGCCUAUAAUCCCAGUACUUUGGGAGGCUGAGGCGGGCAGAUCACACGGUUAGGAGAUCAAGACCAGCCUGGACCAACAUGGUGAAACCACGUCUCUACCAAAAAUACAAAAAUUAGCCGGGUGUGGUGGUGGGUGCCUGUAAUCUCAGCUACUAGGGAGGCUGAGGCGGGAGAAUCUCUUGAACCUGGGAGGCAGAGGUUGCAGUGAGCAAAGAUGGGGCCAUUGUACUCCAGCCUGGGUGACAGAGCAAGACUCCAUCUCAAAAAAAUAAAAAUAAUAAUAAAAUAAAUCUUGAGACCCCAAACUCAGUAAGCCAAAGGAAGAAGUCAGGCUGGGAAUCGGGUCAUGCAAACCCGCCUCCCCUCUUGGUUUCUAAAUAAGAUGGCAACAAGAUGUAAAGCUACACGCCUCCCCAAUAUUUUGCCCAUGAGGACAUUCCUAGUGAGCUCCAAGAUCUUCACCCUCAGGUGUUUCUGUUCAGGUUUCUCCAUGGCAAUGUAAGUGGAUGGCUCAUCCUUCCAGGUGCAGUCACCCCGGCCCAUCAGACACGAGUGCAUACCACCUGAUUAUUGCUCCCCAGCCCCAUUCUGUCCCUGUCAUCUUAAGUGCAGAUCCCCGUAUUUUACCUCUGCCCCAUUUGUCUUUGUGAUCUUAUGUAAAAAUAUGGAUUCACUGAGCCAGACAAAGACAUGAAUGACUAUUUUUCCCAACCUUCCUCUUGCACAAAAAUUGUGCACUUUUCAAUAUCCUGUUUUUCCUUCUUUAAAUUUGGAGCCCUCAAAAUCAUCUUCAGAGAAAGCCUGAGACCUGUCUCCUGGGUGCACAUGCUUAACUUUGGCAAAUAAACCUGCUCAGGUGA